GGCCAAACAACAAGGCCUGAGCUUCAGCUUCCUCAGCUUCAGUACAUCCAUGAAAGCAGCAGCCCGCUGAGAAGACCACCGCACCCGAACUAUCUCUGCCAAUAGCUCCGAGCGCAGCUAAACCAGAAGCUGGGCAUAAGCUCAAGUUUUGCAAUAGCCAAUCAGGGGAGAAAAGCAAGAGCGACUUAACUUCAGGUACCAUCCAGCUCAAGUGUCCUCUUGUGCUUAUUUUCCUUUGGUUGUUUCUUUUGGUUGUGACGUCCACAACAAGAGUAUACAUGGACAGGAUAUUUUUUGAUUGAGACUAAUGGAAGAAGCCUUAUUGGUUACUACUUCUCAUUAUCAAGGCCGCCGGAGAUUUAUGUGUGCGUGAUCAGGUUUAAAUGGUGGUGUUUGCUGCCCUUGAGAAACAUUGGAUCGGGGCGGCCGGCCAGGAAAUCGUGUUUAAUUACUUUAAGUAUUUAAAUUCUAAUGAUUACUUGCUAAGUUAAAGCUUGGGAUCAGAUUUACUUCCUUAGGUGGUGGUCGAGAGUUAGAGAUAAAGAAGUUUUUGAU